GUGAAUCAUCAAAUUUUUGAACGCAAAUUGCACUCUCCUCGGAGAGUAUGCCUGUGUGAGGGUCAGCCUAUAAAAAAUCGACAUCGUGGCUGGUUCGCGAUUGCUGUCGUCUGAAGUGGGUUCAUCUAUAAUCUUUUUGUUUUAUGCGACUUAAAAUUUUCAUUUGUUUUCAUGAAUUUUUCUAAUAGUUAUUUCUUUACAUGUUUAAUUUAUCGUUUUGUAUUAGACGUGAUCAUCAUAUCGG
rnacentral:misc_RNA from 1 species